rnacentral:misc_RNA from 1 species
GCCUUCAUUUUCAAACUGAUCAAUCGAAAGCUGCCGCACCAUGCCACCUAGAGCACCACCAGUCUCUGCAGCUAUAACCACAGCACGGUGAUGCAGCCGGACUCCAGCUGGGACAGAAUUAUUUGAUAAGGCAGAGUCAGGCUUGAUCAGAGUAGACGCCUGUUUUCCACUUGGUGUUGCCUCCGCUCCACGGUCCCUAUCUGGAAGUUCAACUUCUCCAUU